AAAAACUAAAAGCUGCACUUCUUUUUCAUGCAACUGUACCACUGCAUCAAUAGUUCAGUGUUUUGUUGAGAAAAUAUCACCAUAUCAAUAUUAGCCAUUCCAAGAAUGUACAAAAAAUAAAAUCACA